rnacentral:rRNA from 1 species
GACUCCUACGGGAGGCAGCAGUGGGGAAUUUUGGACAAUGGGGGCAACCCUGAUCCAGCAAUGCCGCGUGUGUGAAGAAGGCCUUCGGGUUGUAAAGCACUUUUGUCCGGAAAGAAAACCGCUUCUCUAAUACAGGGGCGGGAUGACGGUACCGGAAGAAUAAGCACCGGCUAACUACGUGCCAGCAGCCGCGGUAAUACGUAGGGUGCAAGCGUUAAUCGGAAUUACUGGGCGUAAAGCGUGCGCAGGCGGUUCGCUAAGACCGAUGUGAAAUCCCCGGGCUUAACCUGGGAACUGCAUUGGUGACUGGCGGGCUAGAGUAUGGCAGAGGGGGGUAGAAUUCCACGUGUAGCAGUGAAAUGCGUAGAGAUGUGGAGGAAUACCGAUGGCGAAGGCAGCCCCCUGGGCCAAUACUGACGCUCAUGCACGAAAGCGUGGGGAGCAAACAGGAUUAGAUACCCUGGUAGUCCACGCCCUAAACGAUGUCAACUAGUUGUCGGGUCUUCAUUGACUUGGUAACGAAGCUAACGCGUGAAGUUGACCGCCUGGGGAGUACGGUCGCAAGAUUAAAACUUAAAGGAAUUGACG